AUUUCAACGACUGUCUCCUCCCCUCAGAUUUGUCCUAUAUUCGGCGCCAUAAAAGCCCUCCAUGAACACUUGCCUCAGGGAAUUGUUUGCUGAAUUAUGCCUGUGUGCUGCUGAUGACUUGGAGAUCACCCCACGGCCCACCUGUCUACUCAGAGUGGUGCCUCCCCGGCCAUGCUCAGUAGCGACCUUCAGGUUGACGGGUCCGAAGACAGGACGUGCGGCGAGAUGGAGCCGACCUUUGACCUGGAUGCGGAUCAGUACCGGCGGGGCACUCACAGCCACGAGAGCCAAUUAACGUGGGAGCAUGCAGUGGCACACCAUGGACCGGAACCAUCCACAGGGCGAGCUGCCGUUCCUAAUCUCUUAAUACCUCGCCGCGGCCUCCAAGAUGCCUGCCAAUAGCAAACCAGGUCACGAGGGAUGAAAGCAGAAAAAUGAACCCAGGCAGAAUAGUUUUCCUUUCCCUCCCCAAAUUGUCUUUGUUUCCUGUGCAUCUGCCUGAGUGAUUACCAGAUAUCAGUAUGAGCGAUAUCUCUCCACUCCGAUGGACAGGCACUGUGGAAAAUGGAUGACUAUUAUCAACAGAAACCUCAAAGGUAGUCACCAUGCAAACAUGGCAGAUGCAUCCAAUCUUGAUCUGAGCUAAAGGAUUCACUUUGAAGACAACUCUGCACUUUGAAGUCUGAUUCUCUAUUUGUAUUUACUUAUUUUCAGCCUCUCUCUGCGGAGAUAUGACCCAUCCAUGGGUGCAAUAUCUGCUUAGUAAACAUAUCAUUCUCCGACAAGCAGAUAGGAAGAGGUUGAAGUCUGUUUGGCCCUUAGAAAAAUAGACUCAAACAGAUAAACAAAUCAAGACCAGACCCUGGGAGAGAAAAAAACUACAGUUCUCCAUCUUUAUCUCGCGUAUCACCAGGAUAUGCUUUCCCUAGCCCUUUCUUCCAUGCCUGCCCUCCUUUCAUUCUUUCACUCACUCUGACCUGAGAUGACCUUUUUUCUCACAGUCCUCUCAACUGUACAGUGUGUAUUUCACUUGCACACAAUAGCUGCAAUCUGAUAGCAUUUUAAGGUAUCUUUGUGAAAGACCAUGGGCUCGUUCUAUAGUGUGUGAUGUUUGUUCAUGCCCAUGCAUUUGUGGUUGUUUGUGUUUGUGUGUGAUAGUGUGUGUGUUGGGGGGGGGGGGGGGUCCAUAGCAUAGCUUAUUUAAAUGUGGAGGAUUCUGCAGAAUAUACUGUUCAAGUUAUCAGAAAAUCAAUUUACUGUAAACUCUUGUUUUCUAUCAAAUUAACCCCAUUCCAGAAGUAGGCGUCCUCCAAUUGUGAAUCCAACUAUAUUUUACCAUCACAGUGUCCCCUUGCCCCUCCUUUAUGAUAAGUAAUCCUCAACAACACCACUGUGUGAGUGAAUCAUUAAGAGGAUUUCAAGCUCUUGGACAAGACAAACACAAUUUAGUAUCUGAGCUUCAUGGACCUGAAAAAUAUUUUGUUGGACAACAAUCAUUUGCUUUACUUUGCAAUGCUAAUUUUCCAGCAGUGAUACAUUUUAAUAAAAUCUACAAC